AUUGAACGCUGGCGGCAGGCCUAACACAUGCAAGUCGAACGAGUGGCGGACGGGUGAGUAAUGUCUGGGAAACUGCCUGAUGGAGGGGGAUAACUACUGGAAACGGUAGCUAAUACCGCAUACCCUAAGAUGUGACCAGAUGGGAUUGGCUAGUUGGUGGGGGAACGGCUCACCAAGUCGACGAUCCCUAGCUGGUCUGAGAGGAUGACCAGCCAAACUGUAACUGAGACACGGUCCAGACUCAUACGGGAGGCAGCAGUGGGGAAUAUUGCACAAUGGGCGCAAGCCUGAUGCAGCCAUGCCGCGUUUAUGAAGAAGGCCUUCGGGUUGUAAAGUACUUUCAGCGGGGAGGCGUUACCCGCAGAAGAAGCACCGGCUAACUCCGUGCCAGCAGCCGCGGUAAUUC
rnacentral:rRNA from 1 species